AGGCGCGAUUAAUCCACUACCGUUUCACCGAUGAAAGGAGGCAUUAGUCUGUGAAAUAUUCACAGGGCUCUGUACAACAUGCCAAUGGGAGGAAGACAAACAUUAAUGCACUAACCCUCUCUGUCCUACAUAACAGAGCAUGUAGCGACAGAUAAUCAACUCGAGAGAGAGUUCUAAAACUCUCUCUCUGAAAUGGAUAACCUCAUUCAAACUGUGUGUGGUAGGCAUUCGUGUGUUUACAUGUUGGCUUCAUGUCAUUUUUAAGUCUAAAACAUCAACAUCGGACUGUCCUAAAACAUCCUCACUGUCCUAAUAAAUCAUCAGACUGUCCUAAAACAUCAUCAUCAGACUGUCCUAAAACAUCAACAUCGGACUGUCCUAAAACAUCAUCACUGUCCUAAUAAAUCAUCAGACUGUCCUAAAACAUCAUCAUCAGACUGUCGUAAAACAUCCUCAUCAGACUGUCCUAAAACAUCAACACUGGACUGUACUAAAACAUCAACAUCAGACUGUCCUAAAACAUCAACACUGCACUGUACUAAAACAUCAACAUCAGACUGUCCUAAAACAUCAACACUGGACUGUACUAAAACAUCAACAUCAGACUGUCCUAAAACAUCAACACUGGACUGUACUAAAACAUCAACAUCAGACUGUCCUAAAACAUCAACACUGGACUGUACUAAAACAUCCUCAUCAGACUGUCCUAAAACAUCAACACUGGACUGUACUAAAACAUCAACACUGGACUGUACUAAAACAUCCUCAUCAGACUGUCCUAAAACAUCAACACUGGACUGUACUAAAACAUCAACAUCAGACUGUUCUAAAACAUCAACACUGGACUGUACUAAAACAUCCUCAUCAGACUGUCCUAAAACAUCAACACUGGACUGUACUAAAACAUCAACACUGGACUGUACUAAAACAUCCUCAUCAGACUGUCCUAAAACAUCAACACUGGACUGUACUAAAACAUCCUCAUCAGACUGUCCUAAAACAUCAACACUGGACUGUACUAAAACAUCAACCUCAGACUGUCCUAAAAC
rnacentral:lncRNA from 8 species